rnacentral:tRNA from 1 species
UGGCCUAGUGGUUAAGGCUAUGGAUUGCCAAUCCGGAGACGGCGGGUUCGAUUCCCGU